rnacentral:rRNA from 1 species
AUUGAACGCUGGCGGCAGGCCUAACACAUGCAAGUCGAACGGUAACAGGAAACAGCUUGCUGUUUCGCUGACGAGUGGCGGACGGGUGGGUAAUGUCUGGGAAACUGCCUGAGGGAGGGGGAUAACUACUGGAAACGGUAGCUAAUACCGCAUAACGUCGCAAGACCAAAGAGGGGGACCUUCGGGCCUCUCGCCAUCGGCUGUGCCCAGAUGGGAUUAGCUAGUAGGUGGGGUAACGGCUCACCUAGGCGACGAUCCCUAGAUGGUCUGAGAGGAUGACCAGCCACAAUGGGACUGAGACACGGUCCCGACUCCUACGGGGGGCAGCAGUGGGGAAUAUUGCACAAAAGGCGCAAGCCUGAUGCAGCCAUGCCGCGUGUAUGAAGAAGGCCUUCGGGUUGUAAAGUACUUUCAGCGUGGGAGGAAGGGAGUAAAGUUAAUACCUUUGCUCAUUGACGUUACCCGCAGAAGAAGCACCGGCUAACUCCGUG